AGAGAAUCACUUGAACCCGGGAGGCAGAGGUUGCAGUGAGCCAAGAUUGCGCCACUGCGCUCCAGCCUGGGCGACAGAG
rnacentral:snRNA from 1 species